GAUGCCAGCUAGCGAUCCGCCAAAGUUCCUCCGAUGACUUGGUGGGCAGCUUCCGGGAAACCAAAGCAUUUGGGUUCCGGGGGAAGUAUGGUUGCAAAGCUGAAACUUAAAGGAAUUGACGGAAGGGCACCACCAGGAGUGGAGCCUGCGGUUAAAUUUGACUCAACACGGGAAACCUCACCAGGCCCGGACACCGGAAGGAUUGACAGAUUGAGAGCUCUUUCUUGAUUCGGUGGGUGGUGGUGCAUGGCCGUUCUUAGUUGGUGGAGCGAUUUGUCUGGUUAAUUCCGAUAACGAACGAGACUCUAGCCUACUAAAUAGACGUACUUUAUUACCGGCAUCUCAAGGCCCAUCGGCUGUAUUGUUACUGAAUGUUAUUUGUAUAUUUUGUUGAUAUAUAUUUAU
rnacentral:rRNA from 1 species